ACGAGCCCCUCCUAAGGGCUAAUUGCAGGUUCGAUUCCUGCAGGGGACACCAU
rnacentral:tRNA from 1 species